CCGGUACAUUUCUUCGUUUCUUCUUUGCUGUUUUCAGUGAGUGUUUUGUUUUCUCUUUGUCCUUGAUCUCGACGGUGUUGUCGUGCUCAUUACCUUACUGAGACGUCUCUUGUGACUGUAGCCAGUGUCACAGAGGAUUUUAUUGGCGUGACGAGCUAGAUCGCCGAGAUCAAGCGUGAAAAACGCUCUGCAUUAGUAGCUCCUGUAGAAUGUCUUCUGGGAUGGCGUAUCCAUGGUCAACAAAGCCAAGGUGCAAGACAGCAUAAGAGAUCGUGUAAACGAUGUGAACUCCAAAAGAUAAUCUGGACAAAUAAAUUAUAAUAAUUAUUGUAACUGGAGAGUGCAAUCGUGCUUGGGACCUAUCCCAAUGUCAUCACAUGGCUGUGGUGACUAGUGUAUACCUGGGAGAGUUUUUCCUCAACUGAGAUGGAGUGUAGGUGGAUGGAUUAUGAGAAAUGCGAAGAUGUGGAGUUCAAGGCUAGAUGCACUUCACAUUCGGCGUGCGAUCUCGGCGUCUGGGGCCUGAUAACGUCGUGGUUGGAUGCAUAAUCAUAAUCAAGGAUGAUACUACUCGGCACACCAAUGUACAUGUCAAUGUAAUUUAUACUUUUUCAGAGCUGCACUAUUUACGUCUUGAUGCUUACUUCGGUGCUAGCGUGUUUCCCCCGGAUUAUUUCUAUCAUCAUGCGUGUUCUUGGGCUGAGCGAGCACAUGCACGAGUGUGCAGCUAUAACCCUGUGUAUCUUUGGUUACACUUUGUUCUGCAAUGCAUGUACCUUGUAACAGUAUGUGCUUGCACUGCUUUGUGUGGCCUGCGUAUGUCAGGACUAUUCAGUGCAUUAGACCCAGGUUGGUUUGGUUGCCGGAUGAUCUCUUGUUGCGUCGCUCUGUGUUUUGUAUUCAUCAUUUUUUGGGCUUGAGAAUUGAGCUGGUGUGCGGUUCCCAAUAUGAAAACAUCAUGCUGGUGCUCUGUGUUUCGAUUAUCGACUGUCCGAGCAGUCACGAUUCUUUACCAGAACGGUCAA